UUACGACCAUAUGACGUCGAAUCACCAGUUCCCGUACGAUUACCUAAGUUAAGCAACAUCAAGCCUGAUCAGUACUUAGAUUGGUAACCGCUUGGGAAUAUCAGGUGCUGUAAG